CCUGGCGGCACUAGCGCGGUGGUCCCACCUGACCCCAUGCCGAACUCAGAAGUGAAACGCCGUAGCGCCGAUGGUAGUGUGGGGUCUCCCCAUGCGAGAGUAGGGAACUGCUCAGA
rnacentral:rRNA from 1 species